GACGAACGCUGGCGGCGUGCUUAACACAUGCAAGUCGAGCGGUAAGGCCCUUUCGGGGGUACACGAGCGGCGAACGGGUGAGUAACACGUGGGUGACCUGCCCUUAGCUCUGGGAUAAGCCUGGGAAACUGGGUCUAAUACCGGAUAUGACUCCAUGACGCAUGUUGUGGGGUGGAAAGCCUUGUGCGGCUAGGGAUGGGCCCGCGGCCUAUCAGCUUGUUGGUGGGGUGAUGGCCUACCAAGGCGACGACGGGUAGCCGGCCUGAGAGGGCGACCGGCCACACUGGGACUGAGACACGGCCCAGACUCCUACGGGAGGCAGCAGUGGGGAAUCUUGCGCAAUGGGCGAAAGCCUGACGCAGCGACGCCGCGUGAGGGAUGACGGCCUC
rnacentral:rRNA from 1 species